ACAGAAAGAAACAUUUCCUUUGUUACAGUGGAAUUUAAAGCUGAAUAAAUCUGAGAUACAUUUGACUACGUACAAUACUACGUGUAAUACUGUGUGUAUUUUCCAGGUCCAGAUCUUUCUUGAUGUUGUGUAGCAUCACACUGACACAGAACACUGACCUGCGACGCUCAACACUGACUUCAGUCGAUUAGUUUCCUGAUCAGAGAGGAAAUCCGUGAGCUGUUGGAGGUCACCGUGAGACACACAACACAGCAGCAGCUCGUUUCAGAGCUCUGUAGCAGUCAGACAUGAAGCUGUGAGUGACGUAAAGCUCAUCACCUCAGGAAACCACCAUCAUGUUUAACGGCUCAGACGGUUCGGUCCUGUCUACACAGCAUUUACACAGCAGCAGGAACACCCUGCUGUAUCUGUGUGUGUGUGUGUGUGUGUGUGUGUGUGUGUGUGUGUGUGUGUGUGACAGACGUGCAGAUUACAGUGGAAAAAUAUAAAAAAAAAUAUUUGGAAAAUGAUGAGUGAUCCAGAGCGAGAGGAAACAUGAGCAGGGCUGCGAGUGUUAAAUUUCCCUCAGAACCUUUAACAAUGCUGAAUUUACCCACAAUCCUCUGCACAGGAAGCUCAUUUAUGUACGUCCUGUUUGAAUACAAAUUAUUAUUUUAUUAUUUAUUUGUCAGAUUAGUUUUUCCCCUUUGUCUGUAACAAGGCACUGUGGGGGCAAAGAAAGUCUCCAUGUGUGUGUGUAUGUGUGUGUGUCUGUGUGUGUACGUGUGUGUGUGUACGUGUUCCUCUGUGUGUGUGUGUGUGUGUGUGUGUGUGUGUGUGCGUGUUCCUGUGUGUGCCAGUCGGUCUCACUAAGGGUCCCGAAUUGACAGGAAACAGUUCGGUGGGCCAAACUCUACUUCCUGUCCAUGCAGAGACACACAAUAGGGCAAGGAAUCCCCCAUGGUCUGGCACAACACACACACACAACACACACACAACACAUACACACACACAACACACACAACACACACACACAAUGUAACUGUUUGUUCAGUCAGACUCUGCUAAGAUUAAUGUAUUUUAUCCCUCAUGGACUUCACUAUAAAAUGGAUCCGCAGCAGCUCCACCUCCACAUCAGCGGAGAUUAGAUGGUGUUUUCAGGAUGAUGUUCGUUAUUUAUUCUCAAUUAGUAUAAAGACUAUUCUGUCGUUCUGAAGAUCUUUGUGAAGACACAUAACUUAUCUCUCUGUCCUCAGAUUACAUUCAAAACACUGAGUAAAUAAAUCAAUAAAACAACUUCAACUAA